CAUAUCAAUAAGCGGAGGAAAAGAAACCAACAGGGAUUCCCCUAGUAACGGCGAGUGAAGCGGGAACAGCUCAAAUUUGAAAUCUGGCCCUUGGGUCCGAGUUGUAAUUUGCAGAGGAUGCUUUUGGUGCGGUGCCUUCCGAGUUCCCUGGAACGGGACGCCUUAGAGGGUGAGAGCCCCGUACGGUUGGCCACCAAGCCUGUGUAAAGCUCCUUCGACGAGUCGAGUAGUUUGGGAAUGCUGCUCAAAAUGGGAGGUAUAUUUCUUCUAAAGCUAAAUACUGGCCAGAGACCGAUAGCGCACAAGUAGAGUGAUCGAAAGAUGAAAAGCACUUUGAAAAGAGGGUUAAAUAGCACGUGAAAUUGUUGAAAGGGAAGGAUUUAUGACCAGACUUUUUCUGGGGGGAUCAUCCGGUGUUCUCACCGGUGCACUUCCCCCAGUGGAGGCCAGCAUCGGUUUCUGCCGGGGGAUAAAAGCUUCGGGAAUGUGGCUCCUUCGGGAGUGUUAUAGCCCGUUGCAUAAUACCCUG
rnacentral:rRNA from 1 species